UACGUAGGGGGCUAGCGUUGUUCGGAAUUACUGGGCGUAAAGCGCACGUAGGCGGAUAUUUAAGUCAGGGGUGAAAUCCCGGGGCUCAACCCCGGAACUGCCUUUGAUACUGGGUAUCUCGAGUCCGAGAGAGGUGAGUGGAAUUCCGAGUGUAGAGGUGAAAUUCGUAGAUAUUCGGAAGAACACCAGUGGCGAAGGCGGCUCACUGGUCCGGUACUGACGCUGAGGUGCGAAAGCGUGGGGAGCAAACAGG
rnacentral:rRNA from 1 species